AUUGAACGCUGGCGGCAUGCCUUACACAUGCAAGUCGAACGGCAGCACGGGUGCUUGCACCUGGUGGCGAGUGGCGAACGGGUGAGUAAUACAUCGGAACGUACCUUAUCGUGGGGGAUAACGCAACGAAAGCUGUGCUAAUACCGCAUACGCCCUGAGGGGGAAAGCGGGGGAUCGAAAGACCUCGCGCGAUCAGAGCGGACGAUGCCUGAUUAGCUUGUUGGUGGGGUAAAGGCCCACCAAGGCGACGAUCAGUAGCUGGUCUGAGAGGACGAUCAGCCACACUGGGACUGAGACACGGCCCAGACUCCUACGGGAGGCAGCAGUGGGGAAUUUUGGACAAUGGGGGCAACCCUGAUCCAGCAAUGCCGCGUGAGUGAAGAAGGCCUUCGGGUUGUAAAGCUCUUUUGUCAGGGAAGAAACACCGGCUCUAACACAGUCCGGGAAUGACGGUACCUGAAGAAUAAGCACCGGCUAACUACGUGCCAGCCGCCGCAGUAA
rnacentral:rRNA from 1 species